rnacentral:lncRNA from 1 species
UUUGAUAUAAGACAAGAUUUGAUUCGAUUGAAAGAAGAGAAAAAUGUGUUUUGCUGUAAUGGUGGUGGUUUCUAUUUCAGGGUCCUAGAGGCUAUAAGGGAGAAUUCUCCUCCGGGGGGGAUAGGAGAUGAGGGUACUAAAGGGGAGCAGGGGGAACUGGGUUCUGUUGGCCUAAUUGGGCCGGUUGGUAAAAGAGGAACCCAAGGGUUUUCAGUGUCACCUGGGCCCCAGGGCGAUUCUGGGUAUGAUGGUGCUCAAGGUCCACUCGGGCCAAUGGGGGCUCUAGGUGUGACUGGCAUGAUAGGAGCACAGGGGUCAAACGGCUCAAGGGUCAGUAUUUUGUAUUUACCAAUGCACAGUGGACAGUGCAUUAUAUUGAAUUUUAUUAGACAAGAGCUGAAUAACAUCCUGUAUAAGGGUUUGACUGUUUCUCUGCUGUGUUCCUCACAGAGAGAAGCAGGGCCAGCUGGACCACUUGGCUGUAAAGGGGGCCCCGGUAUGUGUCUGUUUUAUUUCUGUCAUUUGAUUCUUCCUUUUUUCUUUUAGACAUUUCAUU